GGCCUUCGCCCAGAGGAUCCCCUCACAUGUCCCACCGCGGAGCCAUCAAGAUCCAGCCCAGUAGACAGCAGCCGUCGUCGGGGAAGCCGAGUUAACCCUGGCUAAUCAAAAGACGUGUAUUUUCAUCCGUGCGGAUUAAUGACGGUGGUCUGGACGCCAGAGCCUGCGAGUGCUGUUUUUUUUUUUUUUUUCCAAAGAAAGAGACUG